rnacentral:rRNA from 1 species
UACGAAGGGGGCUAGCGUUGCUCGGAAUCACUGGGCGUAAAGCGCACGUAGGCGGCUUUCUAAGUCAGGGGUGAAAUCCUGGAGCUCAACUCCAGAACUGCCUCGAUACUGGAAAGCUCGAGUCCGGGAGAGGUGAGUGGAACUGCGAGUGUAGAGGUGAAAUUCGUAGAUAUGCAAGAACACCAGUGGCGAAGGCGGCUCACUG